CUUUUUUCAGUGUAUAGUGAUUAAUAUAUUAUUAAAUGAAUGGUGAUUUUGUGAAUUUUAUACAAUUAUACAUCUUGCUUAGUUUAAGAAUCUAUAAAGUCGUAAUGUAUAAAAUUCACAAAAUUGAAUACAAGAUCUUGGUGAGCGAGGAUGCAAUAUAUAAACUUUUGAGGAUAUUUCUGUUGCAAAUGUUUCCGCUCGUACUUGCAUCCCUGCGAGUAUUUCGCGUGCGCGCGUGCUCUGAUGCACGCAUCACUCGAAAGCGCUUGCAUGUAACGUGUUCACCUAGUUAUAACAAUUAAGACUUUCUCAAGCAUUGAUAAAACGCGGAAAGUGUUACAUGUGUUUUGCGUUUCUGGCUUUAAAAUGUUCGUCGCUCUAAUAUCUCAUUUCAAACGGACGCGCCUUGAAAAACGCACCGACGUUUCCUCGAAAUCUCUUGAAACAGCGUAAUCCUCGCCUUGAGCUAAAUUUUUCUCUGUUAAACUCAUUACGCGUAGAGAAAGGUGCGAUGCGCAAUGCAGGCUUAAAAUGCGGCUACGACGCUCUCCUUUCCCGCAAUGUCAAGUGGUCACAUUUACUCCAGUUAUCGCGGAGAUAUGUCGUUAAAUUAAUUCACAAGUUCGGAGGAGUGAAUUCAAAUUCGAGAGUGCACGAGUUUUAAUCUCGUCGCCUCACUCCGAAUUUCCCCGUAAUCACCUUUCGUAAUCAAAUAGCGCUCUAUUGCGCCUCGUGAUAAUAUCCCCAGGUAUUUUAGUCACCGGGAUGCGAGAGGCGAGGCGUCAACGCCGCGCUGCGUCGGCGAACAUAGUCAUCUGGGAGCGGCUAUAUUGUCAAGGAACUGUGUUCGAUGUCAGAGUUGGAGAAUUUGAGUUUUGUUAUAAUUACGGGAGAUUUUUUGAAAGGAUAAAAAGUUUAAAUAAAUUUUUAGGGGAGAUAAAUAUAAA